rnacentral:rRNA from 1 species
GGGUCUGGUCCCGGCCCAGGACGAACGCUAACGGCAUGCCCUACCCCCGACAAGUCGAGCGAGCUGACCCCGGUCGCCCGGAGAGUCAGUCACUCCAGGUAACCGAGGCAGCUAAGCGGCGAACGGGUGAGUAACGCGUGGGUAACCUGCCUCGAAGACCGGAAUAACCUCCCCCCGGAUUAAUCCGGGAGGGGGCUAAUGCCGGAUAAGCUCACGCCUCUGCGGAGGCGCGAGAAAAAGGUAGCCGCAAGACGGCUUCCGCUCCGAGAUGGGCCUGCGUCCUAUCAGGUAGUUGGUGGGAUAACGGCCCACCAAGCCGACGACGGGUAGCUGGCCUGGCAGGGUGGUCAGCCACACCGGAACUGAGACAAGGUCCGGGCCCGAAAGGGCUAGCGGGGUGGAAUCUCUCGCAAUGCGCGCAAGCGUGACGAUGCAAUGCCGUGUGGAGGAAGAAGGCGGGUGUUUUCACCCGUUGUAAACUCCUGUUGGCCGGGGAGUAAGCCCAGGGGGUGAAAAGCCCCGGCUGGGUGAAAGUACCCGGUUCAAAGCGCCGAUAAACUACGUGCCAGCAAUCGCGGUGAAACGUGGGGCGCGAGCGUUGUCCAGAUUUACUGGGCGUAAAGGGUACGUAGGCGGCUGGGCGUAUCGGCCGUGAAAGCCUCCCGCUAAACGGGAGGAGGUCGGUCGAGAUUACCCAACUAGAGCCCGGUGGAAGGAAACGGAACUCCCGAUGUAGCAGCAAAAUGCGUUGAUAUCGGGAAGAACGCCAAAGGCGAAGGCAGCUUCCUACGCCGUGGCUGACGCUGAGGUACGAAAGCCAGGGGAGAGAAGCGGUACGGAACCCGCGUAUUCCUGGCUGUAAAAGUUGGGCACUAGCCCUGGGCCCUCACGAAGGUCCGGGGCGCAGCUAACGCGUUAAGUGCCCCGCCUGGGGAGUACGGCC